rnacentral:rRNA from 1 species
UACGUAGGGUGCAAGCGUUGUCCGGAAUUAUUGGGCGUAAAGAGCUCGUAGGCGGUUUGUUGCGUCGGCUGUGAAAUCCCGAGGCUCAACCUCGGGUCUGCAGUCGAUACGAGCAGACUAGAGUGUUGCAGGGGAGACUGGAAUUCCUGGUGUAGCGGUGAAAUGCGCAGAUAUCAGGAGGAACACCGGUGGGCGAAGGCGGGGUCUCUGGGCAACAACUGACGCUGGAGGAGCGAAAGCGUGGGGAGCGAACAGG